rnacentral:rRNA from 1 species
CCUACGGGAGGCAGCAGUGAGGAAUAUUGGUCAAUGGACGAGAGUCUGAACCAGCCAAGUAGCGUGAAGGAUGACUGCCCUAUGGGUUGUAAACUUCUUUUAUAUGGGAAUAAAAUGUUCCACGUGUGGGAUUUUGUAUGUACCAUAUGAAUAAGGAUCGGCUAACUCCGUGCCAGCAGCCGCGGUAAUACGGAGGAUCCGAGCUUUAUCCGGAUUUAUUGGGUUUAAAGGGAGCGUAGGUGGAUUGUUAAGUCAGUUGUGAAAGUUUGCGGCUCAACCGUAAAAUUGCAGUUGAAACUGGCAGGCUUGAGUACAGUAGAGGUGGGCGGAAUUCGUGGUGUAGCGGUGAAAUGCUGAGAUAUCACGAAGAACUCCGAUUGCGAAGGCAGCUCACUGGACUGCAACUGACACUGAGGCUCGAAAGUGUGGGUAUCAAACAGGAUUAGAUACCCCAGUAGUC